CAACAGCAGCAACAGCCACACAAACAAAUAUGAGAAACACGUCAUUUUUGGAAUUUAAAUUUACGUCGAAACUCUUAUAUAACACAACACUUUGGAAGUGGUUUAAUUUAUAGCUGCGAAAACAUCUUAACGAAAUUAAAUGAAUGCUAUGCUAUGCUGAUAUGCUGACAAUUUCUGACAACAUAACUGAUGAUGAUAACCCAAAAUUAAUGAUCCAAAGGGAAAAAGUCAAUGGGGACUGACAAGUUGCUGUGGCUCACACGCUCCGAGCACCUGAUUUCAGGGUCAACUACGCGCUAAAAAGUGACCAGCGAUCAAAUGAAAAAAUCAAAACAACAAAACGCGACCCCAAUAAAUGCAGUUUUGCAACAUUUGGAGUUGAGAGUUAGAACCUGUUCUUUGCAUCGAUUGUUGCAUAAAGUGGGCUAAUGUCUUGCAUUGAAUCGACUUAAAAAGGCGCGUAA